AUUGAACGCUGGCGGCAGGCUUAACGCAUGCAAGUCGAGCGGAGAUGAGGUGCUUGCACCUUAUCUUAGCGGCGGACGGGUGAGUAAUGCUUAGGAAUCUGCCUAUUAGUGGGGGACAACAUUCCGAAAGGAAUGCUAAUACCGCAUACGUCCUACGGGAGAAAGCAGGGGAUCUUCGGACCUUGCGCUAAUAGAUGAGCCUAAGUCGGAUUAGCUAGUUGGGGGGGGAAAGGCCUACCAAGGCGACGAUCUGUAGCGGGUCUGAGAGGAUGAUCCGCCACACUGGGACUGAGACACAGCCCAGACUCCUACGGGAGGCAGCAGUGGGGAAUAUUGGACAAUGGGGUGAACCCUGAUCCAGCCAUGCCGCGUGUGUGAAGAAGGCCUUAUGGUUGUAAAGCACUUUAAGCGAGGAGGAGGCUACUGAGACUAAUACUCUUGGAUAGUGGACGUUACUCGCAGAAUAAGCACCGGCCAACUCUGUGCCAGCCGCCGCCGUAAGAC
rnacentral:rRNA from 1 species